GUUACAUAAAAUGACAUUAAUUUGAAAACAAAAUAGAAGGUAAAUAGUUUGUCAGCCUGUGAGGUAAGUAUCCUCUGUAUUUGAGUGAAUUUAAAAAGUGAAGUUGAAAGUGCAUGAUGUCCAGGACUGAGAAUGGGAAUGUGGCCGAUCGGGUCGCCACCAAGGGGGUUAAGGAGAGGAUUGUGGAUAUUUACGUCAGUGCGGAAAGUCUGUUUGUUUAUGAUAAACCUUGGAUCGAAGGAGACAGUAAAGGGGAAGCUGUGGAGAACGAAUACUCAGGACUUUCAUUGUUUAUCAAAGAGGUGGCCAAGGUUUCAGGGCAGAAGAAGGCCUACAGGAUCCGAGCCGUGCUCCCUUGGCUCCUCGUGGUUCUCCUCCUUGUGGUCGUCACAGGCCUCGGAAUCGCCCUAAAGGAAGAGAAGAGCCAGAGGAAUUUUGAAAGAAAGGAGGCCAUGGCCAAUCAUUUAAACAAAACCAGCCCAAUAACGGAGGAGUCUGACCAGGUCCAGGAGAAACUAUGUGGUGGUCGUGGUGAGUGGAAAAGAUAUCGCUGCAGUUGUUACUCCAUCUGCUCGCAAAAUAAAAAAAAACCAGAAGGCAAGCCGAGAACAUUGAGGUUAAACAAGCCGACCUCGCCACCGUAACCACUACAGAACAACCGUGCUAUUCAAUGCUCCCUUUCAUUUGGACAUUCUCCAUUUUUGUGAAACAAAGGAUUUGGGACAACAGCAUGUGUGGGUCCGAAGACACGAUGUUUGUAUGUGUGGAGGUGGUAGGAUGGAACUAUUUUCCCCACUAUGAGUUUCGGGUACGACAGCCCGGAUGAAGAAGCCUGUGCUUUGAUGAAAGACAUCAACCCUUCAGCGCAGAGACCUCGGAGACGUUUCACCUGCAGCUCCAAAUAAAACUGGACCUGUAAGAAAAUAAUAGAAUGAGCUCACCAUGGGUACAGCCAACCAGCACACAGACACACCGGUGUGGAAAAUUGUAUCAUUUUAAUAACAUCACAGAUACAUUUGCUCAUCUUCUUUACUGUAUCACUGAUUCACUUAGAAAGCCCUUUGUGUAUGUAUUUAAGUUACGUAAUUUGCCGUCUACUUAAUACUUUGAAAAUGUGCACAUUCCACGGUCCUAUUUUGCACUUUCUUGCACAGCAAAAAAAAAAACAGACUGUUCUAAAUCUCUUUUAUAUUCCUCAGAUAUUUGCCAUAUUGUUUUCUUAAUGUAAAUGUUUCUAUUUUUAUAUUUAUGUUUUCUGCUUUCAGUACUUGUGCCUUAUUUUCUUACUGUAUCCUAUCUUUGUUUGUUAUUGUUUGCACCAAAUACCAAGAAAAAAAUCCAUGUAAUAAAGCACAUUUUGGGGAGGAUCCA
ensembl:lncRNA